AACAAUCAUUCACGGUGAUCUAAGAUAUAUCACCAUGACAAAACAAAAUCCACACGUAAUGAAUUUGAUAAGAAAAAAUAUCAAACAAUUAGGAAUUAAUAGAGAACGAGAUGAAAAUUGGACCUUAAUGUCGUUUUUCAAUUAAGUCGCUUUUCUGACUAGAACCACGACCAAAAUCCAAAAAUCAAACCUCACAAUUAAAUCUCAAAUCGACGGAGCCGCAUCUCGGACUAGCCUCGGUAUGAACCCGCAAACUCGACCAAAUCCUUAAAAUCCGAACUAACCCGAACGAUCCAUCUGACCCAUUUCAAUUUUUAUCGUUUUUCGAUGAAUGUCGGCUGGAAUAAGCUGAAAUGGCUCGAAAUUUGUGGAUUCGAUCACUGGUUUACUGUGUCCGGCAAGGAACUAAUGUUUCCCGAUGGGUUUGAAAUAUUUGGGUUAGUUUUGACGUGUUUCUGACGGCGAUGAGCCUUUUCCAGCGACCUCCAUGCGAGGAUUCGUUGGUCCGCGAUCUCUCUCUCUGUUUCUAUUUUCUCCCUCACAAUCUCUCUCCCUUCACUCUCAAUCUUUCUUUCUCUCGUCUCCCUCGCUCAAUUCUCUCUUUUCAUUUGGCUCUCUCUCUCUCUCCGAUUGUGUGAUGUAUGUGAGAAGUCGAGAGAUAUGAAGAAGAUCACUUCUGAUGGUAUUUUUCAAUGGAAUAUAUGUGUAUGCAGGUAUUUGAGAGUGA
rnacentral:lncRNA from 1 species